UACGUAGGUGGCAAGCGUUGUCCGGAUUUAUUGGGUUUAAAGGGUGCGUAGGCGGCCUUGUAAGUCAGUGCUGAAAUAUCCCGGCUUAACCGGGAGGGUGGCAUUGAUACUGCAGGGCUUGAGUAAAGUUGAGGUUGGCGGAAUUGACGGUGUAGCGGUGAAAUGCGUAGAGAUCAGGAAGAACAUCGGUGGCGAAGGCGCUCUGCUGGACCAUAACUGACACUCAGGGACGAAAGCUAGGGGAGCGAAUGGG
rnacentral:rRNA from 1 species